AAAUGAUUGCCACCGGGUAAUCGAAAAUGCAGAUAAAGCAUUCGUUUGCGUAUCGUCAGGUCUUAGCAGAUGCGCGCGCGGAUGCUUAUUUUUU
rnacentral:ncRNA from 1 species